AGAGAACUUGAGUUCCAUUUCUUCGGAUAGCAGCAGCACCUAGAGUCUUUUUUUAUUGAAACAGCGACGACGGGUGCUCCUCAGCCACGCCUUUCCUCAGCUGCAGUGGCAGAACUAGCAGCAACCUCCUUUUCCCAGCAGCGGCAAUGUUGUUUUCAGCAACUUGAUUUUCAGUCGCACCAUCAGCAACCAACGACAGCAGCUCCUCUCAACAAGUUGCCACUGCGAGCAGCAGAAAUCCUCUUCUUAACAAGCUGUCAUUGUGAGCAGCACAAGCAGCGUCCAACGUCCUAUCUUCAACCAAGAGCGGCGUCCAGUAGAGGUUCCCAUUGCCAGCAGAAGGUAGACACCGGGAGGGAACAAACAACACAAGGCAAGACAAACAAAACAGGGAACCAGAGAAAGAACAGAGAAGAGGUAGCAUCGAUCAGUUCUUCUCCAGCAAACCAAAAAAAUCAGAAAAAAUCAGAGAAAGAAACAAAGGAAAAGAAGUAGCAUCGGUUAGCCAUUACCCCAUCAUCCGGUUUCUUCUCCAGUGAACCUGAUAUAUGUCUUGCAGUUGACAUUUUAAUGGAGGACACGAAUGUUUUCUCAAGGAGAAUGAGUGAAGGAGAGAUUGCUGAGUAUUGAAGGGAAAAGAAAAGUUUGUGGGGGAACUUCUAAGCAUGCGCUUGAAGCAUUAACUUGCUGCCCCAUCUUUUUUGUUCGACUUUAGUUGUUUUUACGAUUAAUAAUGUGGAGGAGAAGCAUGGGAUGUUCCUGAAGUGGACAUUUGUGCCUUUCAUUUUAAUUUAAUGUAAUUAGAUUGAAUUAAUCAAGUUGGUUUAAUA